rnacentral:lncRNA from 1 species
UUUAGGCAUCUCGAGAUGACCAUUUUUUCUUGGAUUGUUGAGGUGCGCAUUAUGCUACAUCCUUGUUUUAAUAGUUGUGCUUGAUUAGGUAUCUAAAUAAGACUCACCCUAAUAAGCUUAUGAUUGUUUAAGACAUGAAUGUUAGCAUGAGAAUCAACAAGAUAGGAUGCUCUCUCCCAAAUAACAAGAGUAGGAAGAUUCCAUCUUUGAAUCUUGUGCUUGACAGUGAUCAUUUCUGCCGCCCAAUCGCUUCUCGUGAAUUUUCAUAACCCGGCUGUGCAAAAAUGUGAAUCUUUUAUUUGUGUUAUCACUGCUAGUUUGGAAUUGACUUAUCCAUCCAAAAUAGUACGAAAAUGAAAGCAUUAUAACACUCAAAACAUAAUGCAGAAACAUAUUGGAAAAACUGGUGCUCGUUAGAGUGAGAUUUUUCGCACCGAGAGUGAAUAAUAAUGGGGAGAUGAGCUCGUGAGAAAGACGGGACAAAUAAGUUAAAUCAGCGUAAUAGAAAUACAUCUCACAUUACCAAAAUGCAUAUAACUAUAUUAAAUUAAGGCAGAAUGCAUAAAAUAGCACCAGAAUUUGUACCCAAAUCUCUAUUACACACUUGUUUAUGACGAACAGCCUUUUACACACCUAAUCUUUUAAAAGUGUGUCGGUUACACAUUAUUUUGAUUACAUGGGCAAGAGCAUGUUUGACACACAAAUUAGGCGAGUGAAUAGGAAAAGAAAUCUGUGAACUCUCGUGUGUUACUGACACAUGUCCAUUAUUUUAUUUUUUAAUUAAAAACAUUAUCUUCUUCGUCAAGAGCUUAAACUAACAACCAGCUCUUGCAACAAUGGAGAAAUUAUUCGCUUUUCUUUUUCUCCAAAAUAUCAUCAUAGAAAAAUAUCCUCCCUCUCCCGUAGAAAACAAACAACCAGUUUGUUGCUGCCCUUCCCCCUUUUCCCAUUUUCAUCUUCUUCCCCACCCAUUUUCCCCAUCUUCCAUGUCCACCGUUUUAAGAAUAGCAAUAAUAUAAAAUUAUUUUGGAAGAAAUUAGUAAAGAAAGUUAAAAGAAAUCUAUAUCAAGAGAAUUUUAUAAAUCUGGGUUUGAAUUUAUACCACGAAUCGAGCAACCAUGAAUUUGGCCAUAACCAACUUUAAUGGAGUUUUGAGUUUUGCAUUAUAUAUUUUGUGUCAGAUUUGAAUCUAGACUCACUAACUCGUGAUUAAUGUACUUGAGUUCCUAAUUUUACUUUAUAAUAUGAAGGUAAUUAAAUGUGAAUUUUUGGUGGUGUCUGGCGUCAAUCUCCCAUGGAGAAGAGAAAAAUAUGAAAUUGAGAAGAUGGUUAAGGGGUAUAGGUGUAAUUUUAAGUGUUUUAUUUUUUAAAUAAAAAAUAGUGACACGUGUCAUUAUCUUAUUGGAGCGUGAAAUUACACAUAUUUUGAAAAAUUGGUCAAGAAAAAAAUAAUGUGUACUUGACACACUUUUAAAAGGUUGGAUGUAUAAAAGGUUGCCCAUAAUCAACAAAUAUGUAACGAAAAUUUAGAUAUCAAUUUAGGUGCUAUUUUAUGUAUUCUGCCUUAAAUUAAUGAUACUUUACCUAUGAUGAGUGAUGACUAACAAAUUUACCUCCCAGACGUAAGAUGAUUAAAAUUAUUUCUCCACCUAAUAAUUAUCAAGCAUGAGUUACGCAAGGGAAGUGCGACAACAAACAAAAAAGAUAUUUCCAGAAUGUGCAUACGCGUCAAUCAAGAAGUAUUUUUUGGACGUCUCUAUUAAUCCACCUAUCCUCUCCUAAUAAACUUAUGGGAAUUCCACCAAAGUGAGAGCCUAUUACACCAUUUUUCAUUAUUUCUAUUAAUUAAUUUGUUCCUCUUUUUCUCUCUUUGCUUUUUUAAUAGGAGAAAUUAAGAGUUUACCCGUUAAUGACAAUGGCGAAGAAGAUGGUGAAUAUGAAACCUUGGAUUGAGGUUGCCCCAUCACUUUUUGUUUUCCCACAAAGACAUUCUCAUUCUCCUAAACUGGAGACUAUUAAGGAAGAUGAUCGAGCAGAAGGACAGGAUGUAGAUGAAUGUUCAUCCUUUUGGUUUUCUUGAUUAAGCGCUCUACAAUUGCUACAGUUCUCUAUGUAUUUUAGCAAAUAAUGUUUAUGUUUGAGAACACUGCGUAACGUUUGAAAGAAGAGAGAUUCAAAUGGAAGUCUG